AGAGUUUGAUCCUGGCUCAGAACGAACGCUGGCGGCAUGCCUAACACAUGCAAGUCGAACGAAGGCUUCGGCCUUAGUGGCGCACGGGUGCGUAACGCGUGGGAAUCUGCCCAAAGCUACGGAAUAACUCGGGGAAACUCGUGCUAAUACCGUAUGAUGUCGCAAGACCAAAGAUUUAUCGGCUUUGGAUGAGCCCGCGUAGGAUUAGCUUGUUGGUGGGGUAAAGGCCUACCAAGGCGACGAUCCUUAGCUGGUCUGAGAGGAUGAUCAGCCACACUGGGACUGAGACACGGCCCAGACUCCUACGGGAGGCAGCAGUGGGGAAUAUUGGACAAUGGGCGAAAGCCUGACCCAGCAAUGCCGCGUGAGUGAUGAAGGCCUUAGGGUUGUAAAGCUCUUUUACCCGGGAAGAUAAUGACUGUACCGGGAGAAUAAGCCCCGGCUAACUCCGUGCCAGCAGCCGCGGUAAU
rnacentral:rRNA from 1 species